rnacentral:rRNA from 4 species
CGGAUGCGAUCAUACCAGCGCUAA